GAGCCUCAAGAAUAGCACUCUGUUCAUCCACGCCGGUCUUCUUCCCCGCCAGCUCAUUUUGUGGCUCAGGGGACAGCCAGCUUCUGCACCAUAAGACUUCCCUUCCACUGCUGGAGUUCCUCCUUUGGCUGCCUCCCAUUCCCAGCAGCCCCCUGCCUGAUCCCCACCUGCCCACAGGUAGAGCUGUCGGAUGGGAUGUCACUCACCAUCUCAGAUGCCUAUGCUGGCAAGGAGUACAUCAUCCAGGUGGCCUCCAAAGACAGUGGAGCAACUGGAGUGUGGCUGUGCAUGCCACCCCUUGGACGGAGGAGCCCAAGCAGCUCACCACAGAGGUUCAGAUCACAGAGACAACGAGCACCAGCACUUCCUCUUUCAUGCCGCCCCCCACCACCAAGAUCUGCGACAAGGGGGCCGGAGUGGGCAGUGGGGCCGUGGCAGUGUGUUGGACAGCUGGACUGGUCUUGGCUGCCUAUGGUGUCCUCUUUAUUUAG